GUAAAGGGCGGAGCUUAUAACAAUGAUUGACAGGGAGCUAAGAUGGAGGUGGCUCUCUCUAUACUGACUGCCAGGUGUAAAGGGCGGAGCUUAUAACAAUGAUUGACAGGGAGCUAAGAUGGAGGUGGCUCUCUCUAUACUGACUGUCAGGUGUAAAGGGCGGAGCUUAUAACAAUGAUUGACAGGGAGCUAAGAUGGAGGCGGCUCUCUCUAUACUGACUGCCAGGUGUAAAG